rnacentral:rRNA from 1 species
GAUGAACGCUGGCGGCGUGCCUAAUACAUGCAAGUCGAGCGAACAGACGAGGAGCUUGCUCCUCUGACGUUAGCGGCGGACGGGUGAGUAACACGUGGAUAACCUACCUAUAAGACUGGGAUAACUUCGGGAAACCGGAGCUAAUACCGGAUAAUAUAUUGAACCGCAUGGUUCAAUAGUGAAAGACGGUUUUGCUGUCACUUAUAGAUGGAUCCGCGCCGCAUUAGCUAGUUGGUAAGGUAACGGCUUACCAAGGCAACGAUGCGUAGCCGACCUGAGAGGGUGAUCGGCCACACUGGAACUGAGACACGGUCCAGACUCCUACGGGAGGCAGCAGUAGGGAAUCUUCCGCAAUGGGCGAAAGCUUGACGGAGCAACGCCGCGUGAGUGAUGAAGGUCCUCGGAUCGUAAAACUCUGUUAUUAGGGAUGAACAAAUGUGUAAGUAACUAUGCACGUCUUGACGGUACCUAAUCAGAAAGCCACGGCUAACUACGUG